rnacentral:lncRNA from 1 species
CCCACCCUCAGCUCGUUACUCUGCCCUACCAGCACCUGCAGCUUCUGGAUGAGGAGCCAGGUGCAGGUUCAGCGACCGGUAACUUGUUCUUUAGAAGAGGGCAGGCAGGCCACCGUCAGAGUUAGUAAGUUGGGUAAGUGGCUGGUGAAGAGCUGUAAGGAAGGGUUGAGGGGUGGGAUGGGCAGGAAGGUGCAGUUCGUUUAGCCACUGCCCAGGUGACAGAAGAACUAGGCCGUGUCGAGGGAUGCUUCUGAUCAGCUUGAAGGAUUUUGGUCAAGCAGCAAAGUAAAAUGAUGGGGUGUAUGCUUUUAAGUGAUCCAUGGUCUUUGGUAGAUGAAGAUUCUUAAGUGCCUUUUGGCCACAGAACAGCCAGUACUCCUGUGGGCCUGGUCACUGGAGAUGGGCCUAGGACUAGUCUUCCAGGUGCCCAUUCUAUGUAGCCCUGCCCAAUUCUGGACAAAGUAGGAAGCACCGAGAUAGUUUGCUAUCCUGGGUGUGAAUAUUCUAGGAAACCACAGAGACAGAUUGGGGCAGCACUCUCUCUGGCCCUCUGUUCCCUCUCCCUUCUGUGUCCCAAGUCCAUGAAGAACUCACCUCCUCACCUGUGUCUCUUCACCUGAGGAGAGUGGCACCCAGACCCUUAUAGAGACCAGCUAGGCCCUGGGUACAAAGCAGCUCCCAGACAGUGAGGGUGGCAGAUGGGCGCUUGUGGGUGGCUGCUGAGCCAGUAGUGUAGGACCUGAAGGAGGAAGGUGCUGAGGCUGAGCCCUGAUGAUGGACGGAAAGCAAGAGACAGACUCCCCGUCACAAGGCAGGCCCAGCAUAUGCGGCAAAACACUCGCACGAGUCUGGCUCCCAGUCCAAUCCCUGGGACCGCUCCGAGGCAAGGCUGACACCCUGCUAGAAUUCUGAGGAUUGUCCUAAUUUUAGAACAUUAAUUUUGGCUCGAAAGAAAUCUUUAUAAGUUCUGUAUUACUUAACGCGUUGUCUCUGCUGCAUAAGAUGCUUCCCAAGAGCACAGCCAUUGCCUGCCUGGCUUUCUUUAAAGGAAGCAGUCAUAAUCCCCCCGCCCCAUUCCUUAUCCUCCUGUUAAAACUGCUUUUGAUCUGUGUUCUAUUUCUAAACCACCUCUGAACCUAUUUAUAGCUGUAUCCUGUCAGCACUUGGGGACAGAAGUGUUGCAGGCCAUUGGCGGUUCCUAAAAUCUUUAGGAAAUCAAGCCUACAUAUCAAGGCAAUAUGAUAGAGGUAGUAGGGAAAUGAAAUUACCAUCUUGAAGAGACAUCUGCACCCCGUGUUCACUGCCGCAUUACUGACAACACUCGAGACAUGGAAACAACCUAAGUUCCAUUGAUAGAUGGGUGGAUGGAGAUGACGUGGUACAGUGGAAUACUGCUCAGCCAGAAAAAAGAUCCUGCCAUUUGUGACAACAUGGAUGGACCCUGAGGACACUAUGCUAAGUGAAAUAAGUCAAAGAAAGACAAAUACUGUAUGAUGUCA